rnacentral:lncRNA from 13 species
ACUAUGUGCCAGGCUCCCUACUAAGUAUUGUGCAUUCACCAUCUUAACGUAAUUCUAUAGUUUGUGAGUAAUAUAUACAAUUUAUAAUACAUAAUGUGUGCUGUUUUGAGCUGACACCAAGGCUUCUGUUAUAUUAAUACAUGUCACUUGCUCUUGAACUACGAUAAUCUUUCUGGAGUGAGAGAGAUGGCAGUCACAGCAAAUGUGCAGAACUUACAUGAGUCCACGUCAUGACCAUAGCGAAUACCCCUGACCGGGGUAUGUCCCUAAGGGUGUGGCACAGAUCCAAACAUUAUAUAACCCGUCUUGGUGGGAAAAGUGUAAGAAUCUCUUCUGGAGAAAGAGCAGACAACUGGAAAAUCUGUUCAGGCCUGGAAUUUUCACGAAGCACCAGUAACCCUUUUAAAGUUUAAAGCUCCCUGCCCGGCAGACAUGAAAUAUGAGCCUAUUUAAAUACCAUUUCUUCUCUUUGGAGUUGAGGUGCUGAAAAACCCUCCCCACCCAGCCCUUUGACAUUUCAAUGGAAUUAAUCCCUAAAGGAAUUGUCAUUUCCCAUUAUGAAGUGAUCUAAUCCUUGGCAUCUAUGAAGAGGAAAGAAAAGGGGAGAACAAAGCGUCUGUCUUGUUACUGCUGGGGUUACAUUUAUGUUGUGGCGCUCGGCAAAAGCAAGAAGCAUAAGAUUUUUCUUGGCACUGACUUGUAGUCCCUGAGCCAAAUGGGGGAAAAUCAUUAUGAACUUUGGAUAAGGUGUGAACCUUCCCCACCAAGAAUUUGUGUUAGGACCUUGUCUGUGGAAGACAUAAGCCUGAUACCUUCUCUUUUUGUUUUCAUUAGGCACCCAAAUGACUUCUCCCUUUUUAUAAGAGUGAGAGGGAGAGAACUUUUUGAAUCAGGUGCAGUAAGAGGUCUUGGAUCUUGGACAAGUCACAACUGUGUUACCUUCAAUGAAAACAGCAGACAAAUCUUAUUUGUGAUAUUUUUUGUGAUUCUCAGAACGUGCCAAGGAUCAAUGGAAGCAUUUGCCUCUUGUCACAUUCAGGCCACUGAACAGGUGGCCUGA